GCUUCUGCGGCCUAAUGGAUCAGGCAUCGGUUUUUCUAAACCAGGGAUUGUGAGUUCGAGUCCCGCCAGGAGUA